GUGCUAUAUGAAAGGAGAGAAGGUUAGCACUCCCCUGGACAAGGAUGAAAGAGGUCCUCAGGCCUGACAACACGCAUACGGUUAAGUCAUUGCCUCUGGCCCCCUGGUGGCACAGUGGUAAAGAAUCCUC
rnacentral:ncRNA from 1 species